rnacentral:lncRNA from 1 species
AUUGGGAUUUCACCCUGCCUCGCUCUCUGGCACAGCCUGUCCACCAGGCCUGCGGAUGUCCGAUCCUGGGUCAUCUGCCUUACCCGCUUGUUCCCUGGCUUCGAACGGAACGGAUGACUUUGCCUCAGGCAUGCUAACCUUCUCCUCCAGAAGCCCACAAUUCGUAUGGGGUGAGAAUUCAUAUGGAGAAACAGAGGAAAGGGAACCUCUGCCACUCCAGUGCAGCCUGACAUUCCUGAGAUGACUCAAGACACAACUAAACAAAUGGUGGUUGGAGAAAAAGAUGUAUAUGUGGGAUUGAAAGAAGAUAGGCAAGAACGAGAACGAGAACAGUCUUACAUGCCAAUCACGGGACGUGGACUUCCUCCUGACACAGUGGGACGAAAACAGUAUAGAGUGUGUUAGUACUCACUCACUUACUUAGUUCAGCCUAAUUCAGGUUCAUACAAAUUCCCCCUUUCCCUGUCUUUAGUGG